rnacentral:rRNA from 1 species
CAUGCAAGUCGAGGGGAAACGACAUCGAAAGCUUGCUUUUGAUGGGCGUCGACCGGCGCACGGGUGAGUAACGCGUAUCCAACCUGCCCACCACUUGGGGAUAACCUUGCGAAAGUAAGACUAAUACCCAAUGACGUCUCUAGAAGACAUCUGAAGGAGAUUAAAGAUUUAUCGGUGAUGGAUGGGGAUGCGUCUGAUUAGCUUGUUGGCGGGGUAACGGCCCACCAAGGCGACGAUCAGUAGGGGUUCUGAGAGGAAGGUCCCCCACAUUGGAACUGAGACACGGUCCAAACUCCUACGGGAGGCAGCAGUGAGGAAUAUUGGUCAAUGGACGAGAGUCUGAACCAGCCAAGUAGCGUGCAGGAUGACGGCCCUAUGGGUUGUAAACUGCUUUUAUAAGGGAAUAAAGUGAGUCUCGUGAGACUUUUUGCAUGUACCUUAUGAAUAAGGACCGGCUAAUUCCGUGCCAGCAGCCGCGGUAAUACGGAAGGUCCGGGCGUUAUCCGGAUUUAUUGGGUUUAAAGGGAGCGUAGGCCGGAGAUUAAGCGUGUUGUGAAAUGUAGAUGCUCAACAUCUGCACUGCAGCGCGAACUGGUUUCCUUGAGUACGCACAAAGUGGGCGGAAUUCGUGGUGUAGCGGUGAAAUGCUUAGAUAUCACGAAGAACUCCGAUUGCGAAGGCAGCUCACUGGAGCGCAACUGACGCUGAAGCUCGAAAGUGCGGGUAUCGAACAGGAUUAGAUACCCUGGUAGUCCGCACGGUAAACGAUGGAUGCCCGCUGUUGGUCUGAAUAGGUCAGCGGCCAAGCGAAAGCAUUAAGCAUCCCACCUGGGGAGUACGCCGGCAACGGUGAAACUCAAAGGAAUUGACGGGGGCCCGCACAAGCGGAGGAACAUGUGGUUUAAUUCGAUGAUACGCGAGGAACCUUACCCGGGCU